CUUUGUUUUACUUUUGGUUGUGAUUUUUUUUAAAACAAUUGUUAAUCGCAUCAUGUUUAUGUGGCAGGAAAACAUAAUUAUGGUCGUGGUCAUUCGUGAUUUAUUGAAUCACUGUGAAAUCACAAAGGGUAAAGAUAACAAGGCAGUUAUUGUAUGUUUUUCGACAGUAUCCUCGGAUUUUAAGAGCUCACUGGAGGUUUCUAAAAGCUGUGUGUAUGCCCUAUCUUUUUCUUUGUGUUAUUUAUCUUUGUCUCUCUGUUUGUCUUUAAUUGUGUGUGAGUGUUUUUUUUGUCUAUCUAUGUUUUGAUUUGUUUGUGUUUGUGGCCGUUUGUUUGUGUCUUUAUCUUUGUGGUUGUAUCUCCCGCACUCCCUCUAUAUGAGUGUGACCUUGUUGGUUUGUGUAUGUGUGUUCAUGUUUAUGUUUAUGGGCAUUGUGCCUGUGUGCUCUGCAUUUGUGUGCCCUGUUUCUGUACUAUGUGCUCCGUGUCUUUGUUUGUCUUUGAGUCCAUGUGUGUGCAUGCUGUGUUUUCUCUUAGUUUGUAUGUGCGUGCAUCUGUAGUUUUUAUGUUUACAGGCGGCAGCCCUUCAGUUUCUUGAGGCAUGUUCACAUGGUUCAAGUGAGGAACCAGGAAGUAUCUGUAAUAUGGCAAAACUGAAUCCUGACUUACUUCUAAGUUACUUGUGAGGCAUCUCUAACAAAAUUUCCCCCGUGUUUAGGCAUUCAUACAGAAUUUGGCACUGUUCUUCACUUUAUUUUACAAGGCAGGUUCACAUUCGAAUUCUAGAAUCCACUCAAGAGAAUAAAGCUGCUUUGCUUUUUGGGUCUUGAAUAUCUUGUCAACAUCUCAUAUGUUGGUGAUACCGAGGAUUUUAAGAAGGGAAUGGGAAUAUAGUCCGUGAAACAUACUUUUGGUCGUGGUCAUUCGUGAUUUAUUUAAUCACUGUGAAAUCACAAAGGGUAAAGAUAACAAGGUAGUUAUUGUAAGUAAUAUCAUGCAAGGGAUGGUUUUGUAUUGAUUUGCUCGAUGUUAUACCUUUGUUGAAUAGUGUACCAGUGCUUAUGUUGGCAGGUAUGUUUUUGACAGUAUCCUCGGAUUUUAUGAGCUCACUGGAGGUUUCUAAAAAUUGUGUGUAUGCCCUAUCUUUUUCUUUGUGUGAUUUAUCUUUAUCUCUCUGAUUGUCUUUAAUUGUGUAUGAGUGUUUUUUUUGUCUUUCUAAGUUUUGAUGUGUUUGUAUUUGUGGCCGUUUGUUUGUGUCUUUAUCUUUGUGUUUGUAUCUUCCGCACUCCCUCUGUAUGAUUGUGACCUUGUUGGUUUGUGUCUGUGUGUUCUUGUUUAUGUUUAUGGGCACUAUGCCUGUGCUCUGUGUGCUCUGCGUUUGUGUGCUCUAUGUCUGUGUGCUCUGUGUCUGUACUCUAUGCUCCGUGUCUUUGCUUGCCUUUGAGUCCAUGUGUGUGCUUGUUGUGUUUUCUUUUUGUUUCUAUGUGCGUGUAUCUGUAUUUUUUAUGUUCAUAGGUGGCAACCCUUCAGUUUGGGAACACUAUGAAUAUUCUUGAGGCAUAUUCAGAUGGUUCAAGUGAGGAACCAGCAUUCAUACAAAAUUUGGCAAUGUUCUUCACCUUAUUUUACAAGGCAGGUGGUAUGACCCAAGAUCUGCAUAAGUGUAAAAUUAAUGUCACGUCGAACGCGCCUUCAAGGUGUCGGGGGUGGUUUCAAUCAAUGGUUUUUGUCUCAUCCAUGCAUGGAUGUAAGAUUUGUCACGUAAGGUGUGAGGAGAGAGAAUCGUCUUAAGUUGAAAUCAUGUCAAGCGUAAUUUGAAUGGUUCUAGACAUAAGGAGAGUCUCGUGUUGAAAUAAUGUCAACGUAAUUUCAAUGACGUUGAACAUGAGAAGAGAGAACCAUCUCGAGUUGAAAUCACAUCGAGUACCAAUGGAGUGGCACCGAAAGUGAGUUGUGUGGAGACCCCUACAUGUUGGGGUUGGGCAUGGGCUCUUGCCACACUAGGUGUGAAAAGGUGGGAGACUCUUUGUCUUAACCACACCGAGUGCAGGUAGUUUGGUGCCGAAUGUGGGUGAUUUGCAUCAAUGGUGUUGGGCAUCCUUUGAGUGGCAAUGGAUGCGAGUUGUAUGAUGAAAAUUUUGUGUUUAUAUAUAGAUGUUUUAUUGUUGAAUGGUGAUCAACGAGUUAUAAGUAUGAUGAUGUAUGAUAAGGAAUCUAUAUGUUGUAAGUUGAUAAGUUGAAUGUUGGUAAUUAUGUUGUAAAGUUGCAAGUUGAUAAAUGAUAAAGUUGUAUAAGGUAUAUGUUGCUAAA